AUGUUCAGAGAUGUUAGCCUUUUAAGACCUCUUGGUAAAAAUGCUUGAACAAGAUUUUAUUAUGUAAAUUAAUGACACACAUAAUUUUUCUUUACCUCCUUACUUAAAAUUAGCUUCAGGGUUUUCAGGAUGUGGGGUCAGAGGGUCAGCAGAAAAGAAGAAAACCACUUUCCAGUAAUCAGCAUGGUACCAGGAGAAUAUUUUUACUGAAUGGUACCAGGAGAAUAUUUUUCAUGUUACUAGAAAUAAUAUUAAACAGAUGUUACAACCAGUUUAUAUUCAUUUUAAAAAAAUCAAAGAGAGGUUGUAAUAUGAUUAAAAACAUUGUAUACAUGCCUGAAAUUGUAAAAAAAAAAUGUGCCCUAUUAAAGAGAGGAAAUGAAGAAAGAACUCUGAUUUUUUAGGAGAUGUAAUAAUGAAAUGUUUCAUUUCUGUGACCCUCUGUUCAUUCUCCAGCUAUGACUUGUACCACGGCAGGUCUAGGAAACUAGAAUUGAAUAUUACUUGACAAUUCAUUUCAGUUCAGUAGUUAGGAAGCACAAAUCGCCCACUCCACAGUAGAUAUUGCUGUGUAGUGUAAAUCCAUUCUGUUAGGUGGACCCCACCAGUCUACUUCCUGUGUCCACUCUAUCAUGUCCUCACAUAAAUAGAGCUGUCAACCAUGUGGAGGACAUUGGUUAAACUUUCCUAUUUUCAGCUUCAGUCUGCGACUGAGAGAAAUUCUAAGUGUGGAAAAUGUCUUACAAUGUCGUUUUCUUUCUGGUCAUGUUCAUUACUUCUCCAGCAGCGUUGAUGGUGGAGUGGGUCUUCUUCAGAACUGAGUCAGCUGAAAGACAGGAAGCAUAAUAUAAUGACCAUACAAUUAAUCUGUUCAUGUCUUUAUCUUAAAAUUAUUUAGCAAUAUGAAAAUUACAUAUAUGGUAUUUUCGUAUAAAAUAAACUGAAUUGGCAAAGGCAAUGAAGAAAAAACAUUAUUUUGAUGGGCUUACUGAUAUAUUCAAUUACUAGAAAUAAAUACAGUUUUUAAAGGUCAUUUAUAGUUUUUUUUUUUUUUAAGACAAGGUCCUGCUUUGAAGUCAACACUAUCAUAAAACUGAGAGGAGACCUCUUGCCUCUGCAUCCCAAGUGCUAAGAUUGCAGGCAUGAGCCACUAUAGUAAGCUUUGUUUUCCUUUAAACAUUGUCCUCGAGAAAUGAAGGAAACUUCUAAUUUUACACUAGAGUAUGUAUUUAGUCUUUUGAAGGAAGGCUUUGAUAUUCUCAAAUCAAGCUCAGUCUAGCAUAUUGCAGUCUAUAUUGGUAGGUAGCAUAGCUAUAUUUAUAAGCACAAUGAAAGAGCAGAGGAAAGUGAUAGUACUCUUUUUAAACCUCACUAAUAUUCAAAACUUUUUGAUCUUAUUCUUGGAGCUCACUAAUUCAUUUGGCUGUAAUCCAUAUUUUAGAGCAAUUUUAUGCCUGUUUAUACAGUGUGGUGUAGUGAGGGUUUUGUGGCUGGGGUCUUGCUUUGGCUAAAUCUCUGUUUAGAUUAGUCAGGGCCAAGGUGAAAGGGGAUAGGUGCAAAGACUCAUGUGGCAGGCACUGGACAAUCAAUCUACUGUAACCCACACAUCAGCAUCCCGUAUCUGCUUGUGCUUCGGACUGUUCACUUUUGCAGCCUCUUUGAAUGUUUCAGGAAGCUUUCUCAGCAUCUUUUUAUUUCUUUCUGCUUACUUUGUCCUUCUAUAUAAUCUUCUAUUUUCUUUAUUAGAUGUCCAUAGUGCUGUCAUAAAAAGUGGUUUUCAUUAUUUAUAGCUUUUAUCUUUAUGUGUGUGUGAUAUGUGCACAUGUGGUAUAUGUGCAUGUAUGUGUGUGUUCCUGCACAUUUUUUAGUGUUUGUAGGAGCAUGUCACAUAAUGUGGAGGUGACAACAUUGGAUUGGUGUUUGAUUUCAACAUUGUUAGAGACUGGAGACUCUGAUGUUGUUUGCUGUGCAAACACUCUGUUUGCUGGCCUGCAGACUUCCUAACAAUGUUCUGUUUCUGCUUCCCACAUCACAAUAGGGAUACUGGAAUUACAGAUGCAAUUUCUCCAGGGCCAGCUCUGUAUGGCCUCUGAGGAGUCUCCCUCUGGUGCUCCUUGGACUCGUGCUUUUCCAGUGAGCCUUCUCUACAGUUCCACUUAGAGUCUUACAUCUACACAACUUCAUAUUUUCUCUGAUUUUUUUUUUUAGUUGCAGGGCUUCCAGUUAGGUUUGGUCAGUCAAGAUAGGUUGUGCCAUUGUGAAUAUCUCUCCCCCUUUUUCUACUCUAUAUCCCUAGAACCUAGCAUUGGUUAUUGAUAAGUAUGUGGAAGAACAAACUGAAUUAAACUUGAUAAGUUAGAUCUUCAUAAUUAAUAAGAAAAUAAGAAAGCCACAACAGAAAUUAUAAAAAGUCUAGAAACAAGAGGAAUUGGAUCUGAACUUAUAAAUUUGAGUUGUUGCAUAGAAUACUUUCAAGUUACAGAACAUAAGCUGAUUGAUUGAAGUGUCCCAGACACAGAACUGGUCAUUGAGAAGUUGACUUAUUCUAUGGAACUAGAUAAGAGACCACAAGAGGGGAACAAGUGUUGAGAAGGAUGGGGAGGUGACAUGAAAAUGGAGACGAGGCAACUGAAGGGAUGACACAAGACAGGGGAGAAGGACCUGGAGGAAGAGAUUGGAGAAAAAUCUUGACACUCAAUUUUUAAAUUCCAUAGCCUGGUUCUUUGUGAGCUGAUACAAUAUUAAAAAAAAAAAAAGAAAAAGAAAGAAAGGCGAUCUUUUUUAAUUUGUUCAAUGGUUUCUAUUAUAAUUUUUUAUUGAUUACAUAAUCUUUAUAUGUACAGGAAUACUCAGAAUAUGAUUUUGUUUUAUAACAAACUAAUUUUUCACGUUCUGCUUUCUUUUUCCUAUGAAUAGAAAAAUAAAUAUAAAUAAGUGAAAACUCCAAGGGGCUAAUAAAUCCAUUUAGUGUGGUUUGGGACUUAGGAAGAUGCAAUUCUUCUGUGAAAUUGUCUUUAGCUUCUUUAGAAAGAUUCUCUGUAAAUGUCAUGUUUGGUUGUGAUUCGCUUUACUUCUAAAAUUUUAAGUUGUAUUCCACAAACUAGCUUUUGAAUUAACUAAUACAUUCUUUAUCUAGUAUUUUUUAGAUUAUUUUACAUUAGGCAUUAUAACAAACUCAAUAUAUAACUUUAUGUACUAUUUAUACCAUAAGAAUUUGUUGGAAUUCUUGGGACAGUGAGGUGACUUAGUGGGUAAAGGGACUUGCUGUCAAGCCUGGUGACUUGAGUUCAGUACUAUGAUCCUACCUGGUUCAAAGCGAGAACUGAGUCCUGCCAGUUGCCCUUUGACCUACAAAUGUGUACUCUCUGCCAAUAAAAUGUAAUAGUGACAGGUACUUAAAAAAUGGCUAUGAAUUUGUAAUAGAACAAAGAGGGCUCUAGGGAAGGGUUUGGAGUGAGCACAGUGAAGGGAGAAAUGUGUUUAUAAUAUAAUC
rnacentral:lncRNA from 1 species